UGGGGAAUUUUGGACAAUGGGGGAAACCCUGAUCCAGCCAUCCCGCGUGUGCGAUGAAGGCCUUCGGGUUGUAAAGCACUUUUGGCAGGAAAGAAACGUCGCGGGUUAAUACCCCGCGAAACUGACGGUACCUGCAGAAUAAGCACCGGCUAACUACGUGCCAGCAGCCGCGGUAAUACGUAGGGUGCAAGCGUUAAUCGGAAUUACUGGGCGUAAAGCGUGCGCAGGCGGUUCGGAAAGAAAGAUGUGAAAUCCCAGAGCUUAACUUUGGAACUGCAUUUUUAACUACCGGGCUAGAGUGUGUCAGAGGGAGGUGGAAUUCCGCGUGUAGCAGUGAAAUGCGUAGAUAUGCGGAGGAACACCGAUGGCGAAGGCAGCCUCCUGGGAUAACACUGACGCUCAUGCACGAAAGCGUGGGGGAGCAAACAGGAUUAGAUACCCUGGUAGUCCACGCCCUAAACGAUGUCAACUAGCUGUUGGGGGCCUUCGGGCCUUGGUAGCGCAGCUAACGCGUGAAGUUGACCGCCUGGGGAGUACGGUCGCAAGAUUAAAACUUAAAUGAAUUGACGGGGGUCAUA
rnacentral:rRNA from 1 species